UACGUAGGCAGCAAGCGUUGUUCGGAGUUACUGGGCGUAAAGCGCGUGUAGGCGGCUUGGCAAGUCGGGUGUGAAAGCCCUGGGCUCAACCUAGGAAGUGCACUCGAAACUGCUUCGCUUGAGUGUCGGAGAGGAAAGCGGAAUUCUCGGUGUAGAGGUGAAAUUCGUAGAUAUCGAGAGGAACACCGGUGGCGAAGGCGGCUUCUGGACGAUAACUGACGCUGAGACGCGAAAGCGUGGGGAGCAAACAGG
rnacentral:rRNA from 1 species